rnacentral:rRNA from 1 species
GAUGAACGCUGGCGGCGUGCCUAAUACAUGCAAGUCGAGCGAACGGACGAGAAGCUUGCUUCUCUGAUGUUAGCGGCGGACGGGUGAGUAACACGUGGAUAACCUACCUAUAAGACUGGGAUAACUUCGGGAAACCGGAGCUAAUACCGGAUGAUAUUUUGAACCGCAUGGUUCAAAAGUGAAAGACGGUCUUGCUGUCACUUAUAGAUGGAUCCGCGCUGCAUUAGCUAGUUGGUAAGGUAACGGCUUACCAAGGCAACGAUGCAUAGCCGACCUGAGAGGAGGGUGGGCAAAAUUGGAAAGGAAACAGGGCCAAGACGACGAAGGGAGGCAGAAGGGGGGAAUAUCCGGAAAGGGGAGAAAGCAGGAGGGAGCAAGGCAGAGGGGGGGAGAAAGGUAUGCGAAGCGAAAAACUGUGUGAUGGGGAAAGAAAAUAUGAGAAGGAAAAUGUACACUGCUUGAGGGUACAUAAUCAAAAAGCCAAGGAAAAAUGCGUG